rnacentral:rRNA from 1 species
GAUGAACGCUGGCGGCGUGCCUAAUACAUGCAAGUCGAGCGAACAGACGAGGAGCUUGCUCCUCUGACGUUAGCGGCGGACGGGUGAGUAACACGUGGAUAACCUACCUAUAAGACUGGGAUAACUUCGGGAAACCGGAGCUAAUACCGGAUAAUAUAUUGAACCGCAUGGUUCAAUAGUGAAAGACGGUUUUGCUGUAACUUCUAGAUGGAUCCGCGCCGCAUUAGCUAGUUGGUAAGGUAACGGCUUACCAAGGCAACGAUGCGUAGCCGACCUGAGAGGGUGAUCGGCCACACUGGAGCUGAGACACGGUCCAGACUCCUAAGGGAGGCAGCAGUAGGGAAUCUUCCGCAAUGGGCGAAAGCCUGACGGAGCAACGCCGCGUGAGUGAUGAAGGUCUUCGGAUCGUAAAACUCUGUUAUUAGGGAAGAACAAAUGUGUAAGUAACUAUGCACGUCUUGACGGUACCUAAUCAGAAAGCCACGGCUAACUACGUG